rnacentral:rRNA from 1 species
CGUAGGGUGCGAGCGUUAAUCGGAAUUACUGGGCGUAAAGCGUGCGCAGGCGGUUUUGUAAGACAGAUGUGAAAUCCCCGGGCUCAACCUGGGACCUGCAUUUGUGACUGCAAGGCUAGAGUACGGUAGAGGGGGAUGGAAUUCCGCGUGUAGCAGUGAAAUGCGUAGAUAUGCGGAGGAACACCGAUGGCGAAGGCAAUCCCCUGGACCUGUACUGACGCUCAUGCACGAAAGCGUGGGGAGCAAACAGGAUUAGAUACCCUGGUAGUCCACGCCCUAAACGAUGUCAACUGGUUGUUGGGUCUUUACUGACUCAGUGACGAAGCUAACGCGUGAAGUUGACCGCCUGGGGAGUACGGCCGCAAGGUUG